GAUGAAGAACGUAGCGAAAUGCGAUAAGUAGUGUGAAUUGCAGAAUUCAGUGAAUCAUCGAAUCUUUGAACGCACAUUGCGCCCCUUGGUAUUCCAUGGGGCAUGCCUGUUCGAGCGUCAUUUGUACCCUCAAGCUUUGCUUGGUGUUGGGUGUUUGUCCUCUCCUUUGCGUUUGGACUCGCCUUAAAGCAAUUGGCAGCCAGUGUUUUGGUAUUGAAGCGCAGCACAAUUUGCGAUUCUAACCGACUACACUUGCGUCCAUAAGCCUUUUUUAACUUUUGACCUCGGAUCAGGUAGGGAUACCCGCUGAACUUAAGCAUAUCAAUAAGCGGAGGA
rnacentral:misc_RNA from 1 species